rnacentral:tRNA from 1 species
UGGGGUAUAGCUCAAUGGUAGAGCCCUUGCCUAGCAUGCAUGAAGCCCUGGGUUCAAUCCCCAGUACUAAAA